rnacentral:lncRNA from 1 species
AGUAAAUAUGUUAGAGAGAGAUAGAAAACCUGAGAGUAAAUAUGUUAGAGAGAAAUGAGAAAAACUGAAGUAAAUAUGUUAGAGAGAGAUUAGAAAACACUGACUGUAAAUAUGUGUAGAGAAGAUGAGAACACUGAGACUGUAAAUGAGGUUAGAAGAGAUGAAAAACACUGACAGUAUAUAUUGUGAAGAGAGAUGAGAAAACACUGACAGUAAUUGUAGAGAUGAGAACACUGACAGUAAAUAUGUUAGAGAGUGAGAUGAGAAAAAACGGACAGUAAAUAUGUUAGAGAUGAGAACACUGACAGUAAAUAGGUUAGAGAGAGAUGAGAAAACACUGACAGUAAAUAUGUUAGAGAGAGAUGAGAAAACACUAGACGUAAUAUGUUAUAGUGAGAAGAGAACACUGACAGUAUAUGUUAGAGAGAGAUGAGAAAACACUGACAGUAAAUAUGUUAGAGAGAGAUGAGAAAACACUGACAGUAAAUAUGUUAGAGAGAGAUGGAAAACACUGACAAAAUGUGUUGAGAGAGAUGAGAAAAACUGACAGUAAAUAUGGUUAGAGAGAGAUGAGAAAAACACUGACAGUAAAUAUGUUAUAGUGAGAAGAGACACUGACAGUAUAUGUUGAGAGAGAUGAGAAAACACUGAAGUGAAUAGUUAGAGAAGAUGAGAAAACACUACAGUAAAUAUGUUAGAGAGAGAUGAGAAAAAACUAACAGUAAAUAUGUCAGAGAGAGAUGAGAAAACACUGACUGUAAAUAUGUUAGGAGAAAUAGAAACACGACAGAUAAUAUGUCAGAGAGAAGAUUAGAAACACUGACUGUUAAAUAUGUUAGAGAGAGAUGAGACCACUGACUGUAAUAGGUAGAGAGAGAGUGGAGAAAAACACUGACAGUUAUAUAGUUAGAGAGAGAGU